UUACGGUCACAUUACGUUGAAACACCAGUUCCCGUACGAUCACCGAAAUUAAGCAACGUCGAGCUUGGUCAGUACCUAGAUGGGUGACCAUUUAGGAAUACCAGGUGCUGUAA
rnacentral:rRNA from 1 species